AUACCCUGGUAGUCCAUGCCGUAAACGUUGGGCACUARGKKKKGGNGCUCAUUCCACGAGUUCCGUGCCGCAGCUAACGCAUUAAGUGCCCCGCCUGGGGAGUACGGCCGCAAGGCUAAAACUCAAAGGAAUUGACGGGGGCCCGCACAAGCGGCGGAGCAUGCGGAUUAAUUCGAUGCAACGCGAAGAACCUUACCAAGGCUUGACAUGCACCGGAAACACUCAGAGAUGGGUGCCCCGUAAGGUCGGUGCACAGGUGGUGCAUGGUUGUCGUCAGCUCGUGUCGUGAGAUGUUGGGUUAAGUCCCGCAACGAGCGCAACCCUCGUCCUAUGUUGCCAGCGGGUUAUGCCGGGGACUCAUGGGAGACUGCCGGGGUCAACUCGGANGAAGGUGGGGAUGAC
rnacentral:rRNA from 1 species